CGGCGUUUGAUUUGACGGUUGUACCUCCUAUUGUUCUUUGUUUCUUCAACUAUGGGUGCUUUUAUGUCCCAGGGGUUAAUUUAUAUUAAAAAAUUUCUUUGUCAUAUGAUCUUGGAAAGGUUUUACCAUGCCUUCAUUUUUUUUUUAGAUGCCUUUUAUUUUUUGUCUUACUUUCUUUCUUUCUUUCUUUCUUUCUUUCUUUCUUUCUUUUUAUUAUUUUAACUUUUUCAUUUUUAGAUUAUUUUAUCAGUCACAAAUCAGACUUUCUGUCUUAAAAUAUGAUUUUUUAUAUUUUUAUAAAAUUUAAAUUAUUAAUUUUUUUUGUACUCUGAUAAUCUAAACUAAAAUAUUUAUAUUGUAAUUUAUAUUAUUUGUUUGUUUGCUUUUUUCUGCAGUGUCAGCAUGCUGAAAUAUGAGACAUUGUAUAAAGAAAGCAGAAAAAUCCAGGGUUGACUGCAGUGGCCUUCAGAGUGGGCACAGGGUUUUUUGAAGGGAUUUCCAGUGAACUGCAGGUGUCGUGGCGCUGUGGGCUGUAUGGUACUAUUGUGAGAGGAACAAUGGUGCAGAAAGCUUGGGAACCACUGCUUUGCUUUGUUCUCGUCUAUUGUCUGUUCCCAGGAUGUCCUUCAGGAAAAUGACAAAAAGUAUCAUUACAGUGCUAAUCUGGGUGUGGUUGGCAGGAAGAGACUCGGCCCAGUGUACCCAAAACAAAGACUGGAGCAGCGAACCCAGAGCUUCAGCAACUUCAAAGCAGAAAUCUUUGCGGUUGAUGAGUUUACUGUGAGUGUUUCCAAAACAUUUUCUUCUGCAUGUUUAAAAAUGCAGAAGAAUAAAAUAAAGGUUCUUAAGGAGAGGUUUCACAGUCAUGCUGUAGAAGAGCCAUUUUGUGUUCUCCAAAGAACCUUUCACAUAAUAGAUCUUAAAAUAACCAUUUCUUCUUAA
ensembl:lncRNA